AGGAAGGAACCAACCAACCAACCAAGAUACAAAACAAUGACAAAAAGCUUAUUUACCCAAGGUCACAGGGUGAGUGGGCAGCAGACAGUAUGAAACCCUUAUCUAGCUCCAAAGCCUGUACCACAGAUCCCUUUGUACAGGAGAUAAAGCGUGUCACCAACCACAAGGGCCCAGGAACUCACCCUGAGGUGAGAGAGAGUUGACAUACUCAUUCUUUGUAUCAUUUAGGGGCCCUGUGUUUAUGGGGUCUGUACUGUGGGGUUCUACAUGAGUCUGCACUGGAGGCACUAUGACAAUCACCUUUGGCCUUGUGGAACUUGAUUCAGGUUUCAUUCUUCAACCUGAAAGAGCAAGGCUUCCUUGAGGGCACCCUAAACUGUGCCAUCCAUGCAGACCUGAAUAGUUGGCUCCUUACAGCAGUGGGAGGGCACAUUCAUUAACAGGGGAACUGCAGCAACAGCAACUGUCAGCAGUGGUGAGGCAGGGCCAGAGCAAGACACUGUGGCUCAGACAGUGGUGGCAAGAGACCAGGAUGGGAAACUGUAGGGUCACAAUAGGAGCAGCCUUGAUCCAAGCCAGGUUGACAGCAGCAUCAGAGAUGAGUUGGCACUUAGGUCUGCAGGCAUCCAAGCAGUCCCAAAGCCUGCCUUCAGUUUAACAGCAAGUGUGGGAGCCCGAUGCUGUGAUUUGAGUCCAGCCUCCAACCCUUCGAAACCUCACGACUUCUAUAAAAUGAAUUAGAUAGAGUACAUUCAGACAAGUUAAUUAAACUCUUUGUGCCCAGGUUUCUUGUCUGAAAAGUGAGAAUGAUAAUACUGUUACUGUUUCUCUCCCUCACAGGGCUGUUUUGAGGGUUAAAUGAGUGAACGCACAGAAAGCACUUGAAACAGUAAGCCCUCUUUCAGUAAAAGAUGUUACUAUGACAAUCAUCUUUACACAGGUGCACAACCAGAUUUUCAGGAAUUUGAAAAUGUGUCAUGAGUACAAGAAAGAAUCUGAAACAUUAGAACCGUGACUAAACCAAUGGCAUGGACUAAAACCACGUGUCCAAGAGAAACAGUGUUAGGACUGAUGAAGAAGAGCAGAAGAAAAUGGAGAGACUUUGGCGAGCAUCUGGAAAAAGUCCUGCAGAUUCCUAUUCUGUAGUAACAAGAGAUAUGGUGAGGAAGUUCCAUGUCCACUCGACUUCUUAAUCUAAGGUGUAAGUGAGCUGUCCAAGAAGUUCCUCCAUUCAUUCAUUCACUUUAAACUCAAUCAGUAAAUGUUGUCGGGCAUUUAUAAAUGCCAUGUGUUACAUCUUGAGAGAUGGAGACACAUGAUAGGAGAGACAGUUAUCCUCUCUGGGGGAUGGACAUGAACCAAGAAAAUGAGAAAAUGCAGAAAAGUUACAAUAUAUUACAAAGAAAUACAUUACAACAAGGAACUGAAAUAGAGAAUGAAUAGUGUGCCUGGAAAGUGUUAUGGACUGAAUGUUCGUGCCCCCCCCCCUUCACAUAGUGAAGCCUUAAUGCCCAUUGUGAUGGUGUUUGCAGAUGGACCUUUGGGAGGGCAGAACACAAAGGAUGGAAUUAGUGCCCUCAUACACAGAGACCAGGGAGCUUGUACCCCUCUCUCCAAGCAGGCAUGAAGCAGGCAUUAGCAUGUGUCUACCAGCCAGGGACAGAGGUCUCACCUCAAACCCAUCGUGCUGGCACCUUGUUCUCAGACUUUCAGGCUCCAGUGCUGUUAACAAUCUGUUGUUUGACAUGGCUCCUUUUAGGAUCUGAGUUUUAUUCGUGGUCUCGGGUAUCCAUGAAAAGAUUGUGAAAAUCAGACAUUGCUCCUUGUGCAGCUGCAGCGCCUGCUGCCAGGGUUCCUGUAAGUCCACUGAUGACAAUGCUUGUUUCCUUGUGUCCUGGAGGAAAUUCAGCUCUGGGAGGGGAUUACCGUGGUGAGAGCGGAGUGAGCAUGAAAGGAAAGCAUUGCCCAGUGGAGGUGAACCAGUCAAUCCACCUGGUGAAGAGAACUUCCUGAGAAACUUGACAAGUAGCUAUCCAUUGUACCAUUAUGAAACCUAUGAUUUAAAAAUGUUUAGAUGCCUUCUCCUUUUGAAGGAAAAAGGGUGCUUUUUAUUGUAUAAAGCAGCGUCUUCUGUAUUUUGACAUACCAUUGUUUGAACUUCUGUCUUUAGCUGGUAGGUUCUCAGUAAUAAUAAUAAUAAAAAAAAAACAACUGUUGUUUGAGCACAGAGUCUCCAGCACUUAGUUGUGGCGGCAUGUGUCACUAAUACAGGGGGACCGACUUACUUCAUAACAGUGAUCUGGGAAGGCUUCUCUGAGAAGACCUCAUUUUUAUUUCUGUUGUCAGCUCUCAGUAGCCAAAGAAGUAGCCUCUGGAGUGACCUGUGGACUUCAGCAAGAGAAGGCCUGCAUCAGGCCUUACAGCAUGGCACACGGCUCUGGGUGCUUCAGGUCAUUGCUCUGUCUCUCCUACUGGACAAGGCAUUGCCUCAAGGGCAGCGAUCAUCUCGUUACCAUAUUUUGAUCUCCUCGGCAUCUGCCAUAGCAAAGCUGUCUAGAGAAGUGAUGAUAUCCAACCUGUGUGUGUGUGUAUGUGUGGUGUAUGCCUUUAACAUCGCUGGAGAUUGAACCCAGAGCCUCAUACAAGCAUUCUACCACUGAGAAUGCUGUGAACAGAAGUCUGACUUCAGCAUGAGUGGAUCAAAAUUGCACACAUGAAGCACCAGGCAGCCUAGUCCUCUUUUUCCAGCAACAAGGGGACCUUCUCAACAUGGUGGUUUCAAGACAGCCAGGAGAACCAUGCUGCCUCCAGAAAUCGCUGCUCUACCCAAAGCCUGAGAUUCCCAGCUAGAUACAUAAUUACAUCGGUAGAGACCACAUUUUCCAGCUUCCCUUACAACUACAAGUGGUUAAAUGGCAGAAGCGAUGUGUCUGGAACUCCAAUGUGGUACUGAUAAGCUAGUUGUGACCAAGAGCAGGAGACGGAGCAAUAAUUUUGGACACAAAGGUGAAAGCUCUAUGCAGAAGAUGGGUUCUGGGCCCUUGAAGACCGUCACAGAGCCAAGAGUGUCCUUCCUCUUUUGCAGAGUUGUAUGCGAGAUGAAUAAAUUACAGUACUAUGUGAUGUAAGCCAUGUUACAUUGGACAUCUUUGUUACAGCAAACCUAUACCCUAGUGAAAACAUUGGGUUUCUGUCUUGCCCUGGUGUCUUAGUUUCUUUUUCUUAUUACUGAGACAAAAUACUCAACACCCAAAG